AAGAAAGAAAAAAGAAAAAAAAAAGUCCUUCUGACAAUAAUAUAUUGCAGCUAACAGUUAUGGCCAGAUCAAGUCUAUCCGUGGGCAGUCGGACUGGCAAUGUGUCAGAUGAAGCUAGAGUAACCGCUUUCUGGGUCCAGGAACUUCACCAUCUGUAAUGGUAAGUGGGAGGGCAGAGAAAUUGGCAGAGAUUCCUGGAGUAGAAUUACCUGGAACUCUGGAAGAGGCUCAGAGCCUCAAGGUCUACAUAAUUUACUGGAAUAAACCC